rnacentral:rRNA from 2 species
UGACAGAGCCAACGAGUUCAUCACCUUGCCCGAAAGGGUUGGGUAAUCUUGUUAAACUCUGUCGUGCUGGGGAUAGAGCAUUGCAAUUAUUGCUCUUCAACGAGGAAUUCCUAGUAAGCGCAAGUCAUCAGCUUGCGUUGAUUACGUCCCUGCCCUUUGUACACACCGCCCGUCGCUACUACCGAUUGAAUGGCUCAGUGAGGCUUUCGGACUGGCCUAAGCACAGUGGCAACGCUGUUCUAGGGCCGGAAAGUUAUCCAAACUUGGUCAUUUAGAGGAAGUAAAAGUCGUAACAAGGUUUCCGUUGGUGAACCAGCGGAAGGAUCAUUA